rnacentral:sRNA from 1 species
UUAGCAAAUUGCUACUAGUUUUAAUAGGAUUAAGCAGCAUAUAUAUAAUUUACGUCUUAUAGCAAUUUAUAUCGAGGCGGCAAAUGGCUUUGGUUGGUUAGAUUUAUGCAAUUAAAGGCGGCAAUAUAAUAUUUAGAAACCUGACGGGCUUGUGGCUUUUAUAGUAGCACAAUGUGGAACAAAUUACCCUCCUAGUUAUAUUUUAGGCGAUAACCUAUUUCUAAAAUGGUUAAAAGAUCGAAAUUUUACGUUUUUUAGGCUAAAAAAAACUAUAGCCGGUAAAGAAUUAGGCCGAUGCAGUUUAAGCAAAUUUGCUUUAAAAAUAUAACAGUUAAAAGUUUGCCACCGAGAAAUUUGCUGAAUUUUGACCGUGAUAUUUUGGAUAUAUUUUAAAAAAGAAAAGUCCUGUUUCGGAAAUUAUCCGGAGGGGGGUAUGUAAUGGGAAACAAAUAUUCCACGAUAAAUAUAAUGUGGAACCCAAUUCGUGGCAAUUAUAGGGCAAAUGCCUAAGAAAACAUAUAUGUAGGACGAAGGAUUAAAGGCGAAGUUGGUUCUAAGGGGACCUUUCGUUACGGGUUCGUUCCUAUUGGUCUUUACCUCCACGGAGUUUUUGGAAAGGAUAAUUAUAUGGUAAUAUCCCGGGAUUUAUUACACGGUACAAAGCUUUUAACCAUCCUUCUAUAACCGCAAAUGCAUUUAUCAGGAGGUUUCCGUAAUUAAUUGUACCUGUUUCAAGAAUGUCGACCGGAAAGCACUAAUAAUAGAAGAUAUAAGGAUUCGGGCUCGCUGCUGUAAUCUCCUAUUCCUAACAGGUUAUUGCCUGUAAGGCAUUUGAUUAAUUUGCGUAUAUAAUUAAAAAUAAAACUGGUUAAAGUUAUUAACCCCCGAUUUCAAAUAAGAAAAAUUAAAGAGUCGAGGAGGAAGAGCUUUCUAAAAGGUAUGUUUUGUGGCGGGUUAAUUCCUAUUGGCUUUUCCCUCCAUAAUACCUUCUAAUAAAUAAUUUGGAAUAGCGUUUAGGUAUUUAAUCGGGAUAUAUUUGUGUCGAUUUGUAUUUUACAAAGUUAUAUAAUAUUUUAGGGGUAUUGCUGUUUGUUAAUUAAUCCAAACCUGGGCGGAUAUAUAACGAAUUUCUUUGGUAACGCGUUAUAAAAAUACGACAGAUUUUAAACCUUAUUACUAUAUAAUUGUAUUGGCGAAUUAUAGAAAGUUAUGGUAGCCACCAACGCCCUAACCCAGCCUAAAUGGUUUCGAAACCCAGUUUUGGCUAUUAUAGCUGUUUGGGUUUAAGCAUUUCCGGGGAGAGGCUAGGCGUGUUCCCAGGUAUUUGUCUUUGGCCUCCCCGAAAUUAUAUUGCCGUUUCCGGUUUUCGUUCCCGCAAAAAAUGCGAGCCAAAUACGAGAUUUUUGCCACCCGGUAUUAUGGGUAUUUACCCAAAUAAAAGGAGUUAUAAUACCUGGAUACCCCAUUUAUAAAUUGCAGGGAUCCUUUAAUAACCCGGGUUCGCCGUUAUAAUCGCUUACCCCCAACAAGUCGCUAUAUAUAUACUGGUCAAAGGUGAAUUUUGUAACGGGUUUUUCCUAUUAGUUUUUAUUUCCAUGGAGUCUUUGGGGUAAUUUCGGCGUCGCAUUCCGGCACGCAAUUGGGAUAUUCUUAUAUGGAUUUGCACUUUCCCGAAUGUUUAUUCUCGGCCUCCCCGAGAUUGCAUUGCCUUUUCUGUUUUGUUUUUAUGCAAAAAAUGCGAGCCAGGCAUAAUAUUCCUACCAUCCGUUGGAAUUUUGGGCGUAUUGUUUUUGGGGCCUUUGUUUCCGGUAAUAAGUAUAUUAUGCCCACUUAACCACCCUGGGAACAGCUUUGGCAAUUGAAGAAAAGAUGGUAACGCCAAUACAAUUUUAAUUAUAAACCCAUUAGGAUUUUUUGGGUGCCAGAAUUAUUGGGUAAAGGUUAUUAUUUUAAUGCGUUAUUAUAAAAAAAAGCCCCAAUUACAUAUUUGUUUAUCCAGCAUUUUUGAAACUAACUUUUUUAUCAUUUGCGUAUCCAUACCCAUUUUGAGCAAAUUCGCCAAACUUAUUUUAUUAAAAUAGGCAGGUAUUUAGGUUUAAUAUUAUAAUAUGGCCAUUUAUUUAAUACGGGCCAAAAUGUUACCGUCGGCGCCGAUAUAUCCCUUUGUACAACUCGAUAAUAACUUUGGUGCUGUAACCUUUCCCCGCGCAAUUGGAACAAUUUUUGUUUGUGGAAAUAUAUUUCCACCUAUAGCAUUUUUUACACCCGUAUCCCGCGUACUCCCCGCUCCCGUAAUAAACGUUACAUUAAAUUCCACAAUUGUUGCACUUUUUUAAUUUUUCCUUUAAAACCUGCCCCGGAGGACCAUUCUCGUUUCGGUAACAAAAUAAGCAUAUCGCCAUAUUUGGUGGGUGGUAAUACGGCGAUAUUAACGACAAGGUCGGGAAUGGUGGUAAACGGACCAGAAUUAGAGGAGUUAAAAUUUAUACUUUUUUAUAAAACUGUAAACAAAAUGCUUUAAAUAUUAAUAAUUGGCCAAUAUAUAGUGGGUAACAGGCUUUUUUUGGAAAUAGGAUAAAACUCGUAUUUUAAUUUCUCAAACCAAUAAAAGGUUAUUUUAUUAGAUUUAAACCAGGGGAUAAAAAGAUUAAAACCUCCAAAAAUUUAUUAAUAGAAAAUGCUGCUAAAUUUAUAAAACUUCACCUAAUAGCAAUGUUAUUUCCAGUUUGCGUGUUUUGGUUCGCAAUCGUCCCAAUUUUACACCGCCAAAUAAAACAACUAUUUAAAAUCUGCUGGGGUAAUUAAAAUUGCAAAUUAACAUCCCUGCAACAUAAGUUUAAUACGGAGAACCCGAAAAAUAUAAGGAGUUUAUAAAACCAAAUUUAUAGGAUAAAAUACUGGUAUAAUAACGUAAUAAUAUAAGAAAAAUAACAGGUAGGAGGAAAGUAGGGGUACAGGUGGAAACUCUUGGGAGCCGAAAAAUUAUAAAAACAUGCCAAAAUACCUAACGUAAGCAAAAUGCAUUAUAUUAAACAACCUACGUUCAGGACCGGGAUUAUUAAUGUUCGAACAACGAGGCAACCAAAGGUUUACAAAAUUUAUUCCCGAAAUGCAUUUAUUAAUUUAUACCGUGUUUAACCUUGCAGGUUUUUAAUGUAUUUAUUAUAUAACAUUUUGAAACAAAGGUCUUCCUAUUACGUUUUUGUAAUAGCAUGCCUAAUUUAACGGUGAAAACCGGGGAAAUUUUAAUAAUAAAAAAACCUUUUGUAACGGGCUCGUUCCUAUUGGCCUUUACCUCCAUUAAACCUUUUAAAAUAAUUAGGUAUUUAAUUAAAAUAUAUUUGUACCGAACGGCAUUUUACAAUAUUAUUCCCUUUAGCCCAUUCCCUCGUUCUAAGCGCAGGACUCCGAGGGCCAGCUUUAGGGCAAAAUUGGUUCAAAAGAAUUUCAAACUCAGAUCCCGUUCUUAUGGAGGACGAUACCGAAAAAAUUCCAUUAGAAAUAUUUAAUCGGGUCGACCAGACGACUCCUUUAUAAACCACCUAAAGGUUAUAAUAUAAUAACGUUAAAUUCGUUACACCGCUUUUUAAUAUAUCGAUCGAGGCUGUUCCCAUAAAUAUAGUCCGACAAAAAACACCGGUGCAGUUCGUUAAGGGAGUAGUGUUAGGUAUAAGCCGUUUCGUUGCUCCUCGACCUUCCUAAGAGUUUCGUGCGACACCCAACCUCGCAUUACAUUGUACAAAGCCCAGAAAGUUCUAUUAAAAUCCGAAUUUGCUACCUAGUUUAAUUGGCACGAAGUUUUUAAAACUGGUUAAACAUUGCAUAUUUCAAAGUUUUCCAAACCUCAAAAAAAUUUAAAAUAGAUUUUUUGAAAUGUCCUUUUAAAAACGCAUAAAUGCCUUCGACUCGAGAGUUAACCAAAUUAUUAAAAUAUGGGUGUUAAUUAAACCCAAAUUUUAACCGGUUUUUUUUUGUAAAAAUCCAAAUAUGUUGAUUUAAUAUAUGCAAUUUCGUUGCUAUGGCCGGUAAAAUAGUGUUUUUCGAACCCGACAGAAGACGCCAAGAGGUUUUUGGCUAAUGUGGGCUUUGAAGCUUUUGUAAACAAAUAAUUUUGAUCCAAUAUUUGGUUAAUAUUAAUGAAAGUAAUUGCACCCUUAUUACAUUGGGUGGUCUUUUGUUAACGCAUAUGUUAGAUUACUUUGGCAUACUUUUCGAUACCUGGCGUGCGAGCGGGCGGCACUGAGGUUCGAUACAUUUAUAAAGCCCACCGAUACCAAAUAUAUUGGAAACGCAUUGGCUCACCGGCGCUGCCCACAAACGCUUUGUUAUUAUUAUAUAUCUGCUAUAUUUAAUUGAUUUUAUACGAGGCCAGCUAACAGUGUACAAUCUGGACUUAUAUCCCUAUAAUAGCAUCUGGAAAUUUGAAAAGCUUCAGAAAAAGUUUUUAGACUUUUUUGCCCUGAUUUGCUUUAUUUUAAAAGUAGGUGGAAAUAUAACUUCGGCAAUUUGUUUGGAACAAGGCCAUCCGAUUGGAAAUGUUUUGCGUUUUGCGCGGAAUUUUGGCGUUUUUCCCGACCUUGUCGACCAGUUUUAGCAAAUUUUAUAUAACCUAACCGUUAUUAUUUCGAAAAGUAAAUAAUUAAAAUUACCUUGUGGUCCACGAACCGUUAAUAUUAAUACGUUUGCAGAAAUGUUAGUAAAGGACGGAGAAUAUAAAAUUUUGCUAAAGAUUAUUAAUUUGAUUUAUAAUAAAAUUUGGUCACUUUUAAAUAAAUUCCAUAAUCCAAAAAUCCACGCUAUUGUCCAACGAAAAAUUUCUGCAUUACGGAAAAACGAAUCGUAUUUGGAGGACGGCGAAAAAGCCAAUUUUUAACAGUGGAUUACCACCUUUCCCUCCCUGAUAUUACUAAACUUUAAUACAACGCUUGUUUAGUUCGUUCCGCAUAUAAUAUAGGUGGCCCAGGCGCGAUGGAUUUAUUUAGAGCAGAUAAAAGCGUUGUUUUGCUCCGAAAAGGAAGAGUUGCCCCUGUGGUUCAAACACGUAUAUAAACUCGCGCGAUACCAUUUAGCCACAAAAAUUAUAAUCAAGUUCGCCACCAGGCAGCCUAACUUUUUUACAACCAUUUAUAUUAAAGUUGUGGAAAUUCCAGGACAGCAGCGGUUUUUUUUGGCGAACGACAUUACGGCCCUUAGGAUAACGUUUUAAAGGUUAAUUAAAAUAGACCCUGGAUUAUUUGUCGAAAAAUUUGGCCAGAUUUGGUUUACGGAUAAUCCAGAGGCUCGUUUUCGCAAAACGUGCCGUUUUAAUUUUAUAAUCCAUGCAAAAAUGCAAUUUUUUAUAUUUUACAAUUAUUACCCAAAUUUUAUACCACGCUUUUUAUUUAUAAAUAUAAAUAAAAAAAUUUGUUUCCUUUGCCACAAUUUCUUAUCCCGGCAUCCAUUGGCGAUUGGUAUAUUAACCAAUUACCAAAAACUGUAUCCAAUUUGGAUACCAGUUCCGUGUUCGUUUUCGGUGCGGAAAAAAUAUAAAACCCUGUUUUGGAACUUUAAUCGUCACCUGGAAAAAACGGUUCUCCGCAACCUGGAAACCAGAUUUGGCGUUCGGCGACCGGUUUACAUGGAUUUUAUUACAGGGCCCUUUUUAACAAUUAUUGGAACGUUUUUAUUAUUUUUAUUAAUUAUAAAACUGCCUAUUCGAUUUAAAUUAAUGGAAGAUUAAAAACCCUCCUUAAAUACCGGAAUAAUUAUAAAAUAGUUUAAAGGUGCAAAAAGUAAUUAAAGGUUAGGUAAGGCGGUGUUUAAAUUAUUACGGAUAUUCUAAUAAUUUUGGCGCUGGUUUGUGGAUUAUUAAAAACCUUUCAAAUCUCCAAAUGGUUUUGUUUAAAACAAAAUUGCCUUAUAUUACCUUAUUUCCGAUAAUGGGAGGGUAUUUAUAUAGUCACUAAUAAUGCGAUGGACGUAUUUUUCGGAAUGUCGCAAAAAAAAUACAAUUAAAAUGUAAAGAAUAUCUUUUAAAAUAUAUUUUAUAUUUGCUUCUGUUUAAUUUUAUAAUUUAUAUUUUUUAAUUAUUUCUUGGGCCAAAAAAACCUGCAAAAUUUAUCACGUCGUUUCAGGUAAUUGAAAAAUGGUUAAUAAUAGCGGCAGCGAUAGGGAGCGGAAUAUUUGAAUUAAGGAAAUCUUUCGCGACACCUAUUCCAUCCUUUUAUAUAAUUGGCGCUCCAAUUAACCGGUGAACAUUUUGUUUUUUAUUUGCAUUUUCCAUUAAUAAUUACUUCUUUUAAUAAUUUACCCGCAAAUAUAUUGGUAAUAAACCAGGGUAACCCGUGGAAUAUAACUCUGUGGAAUAAUCCACGAAUAAUAUUAGUAAAAAUAUACCUAAGGUUAUUUAAUACCGUAUAUAAUAAUUAUAAUAUUAAUCGUUCGUUUAACCAAAUAAUUACGCAAACCUGAAUUUUUUCAAUUAUGCAGGAGGAUUCCAUAUCCGCGGUUUGGAACAAAAGCGCAAUCCGAUUUAAGGGCCUGGGGCGACAAAUUGCGGGGUUCGGCGUUUUAUUGCGAUAAUGGGGGUUUACGGGCGGACCGUCUCACAUUUUUUCCACCAUGCAGGAGGCCAUUUGUUCGCAUCCGAUUGGGAAAAAUAUACAAAAAUACGUGUUAAAAUAUACAAAUAAUCUUUAUUUAACGUUUUGCAUUUUAAUAUUUUAUUAUACCGGUUUGUUUCCAAGCAGUUAUAAAAUUAGUUCCGUGCAAAUGCCUAUAGUUUAAAAACAGCGUUAUUUGUUAAUUUCCCAGGGUCCGCUGCUCGUUACAAAUUAAAUAUAUUUUAUAAAUGUUUUUUAUUAAUUAAUAAAUUAAUUACAAACGCAGCACAAUUUAUCGUCGUGUAGGAUAAAUAACCGUUUGCAUAUAAUAUAAUACCGCGUUAUUUUAAUAUAAUAUGGUGGAAAUAAAUAAAAAAAUAACAAUAUAUAUAUAUAAAGAAUUUGUUAAUUUAAAAAAUGCGGUAAUAAAUUGUGGUAUUGUAUUGGAAAUAUUGGUAAAAAAUAACAAAACGGCCUCGCUUAAUUUACAUCCUUUUUUCUAAUAUUUGGCCCUUGAUUAAUUAAACCUUUUAUCAGUUAUUAUUAAAAUCGAUAUUAAUAUUUAGCAUUUUUCAAUAUCGAAAUAAAUAUUUUGAUAUUCCCCAGACCGUAACACCAACCUUAUAAAUAUUUGGAAUUUAUAUUUGCUACGUUUGGCCGUGGCCGGUUUAUCGCAAAAUAACAGUAACGUCGCUGGAAUGCCGCUUCCCUCGGGGGAUCCAAAUUUGCAAUAUUCGGAAAAUUUCCCGGCUUUUUUUAAAACGCUACAACAGCAGUUGGAAAAGUUUCAAAAUUGAAUUUAUCCUUUUUUAAAGCGGUUUUUGCUCCGAUAUUAAUAUUUUUUUGCAAAAGGCGUUCCAAUACGGGUCCAACACCUAUAAUACCCUGUUAAUUACCGAUUAAAACAUUAUAUAUAACGCUUUGAAACAAAAAUAUUAUUCCAACCAGCUAAGGAAAUAUAAAUUCGUUAUUUUUGGUAAUAAUUACCAAAGUAUCAAAUUUUCUGCAGGAAUUAUAUUCCAGGAUUUUUUGCCUUCCCGGCCGCGAAAUAAUAACGCUCCGAAACGACGGGCAAUAAUUAUCGACUGUAAAAUAAUGGGUAUAAAAACUCCAACAACAAUUAAAUAAUAAUAUUAAAACCAGGUUGGAUUUGCGUUUGAAGGGAAAAUUUAUUUUAAAAACAGUCUUUUAUCGCUGCAUUAACCAAUUUAUUAAAAAAAUAACCGAAACCCAAAUAGGAGAUUAAGGAAAUUUGCGCCAGGCAGGAUCGUAGCAACCAAUUUAGUGCGUUAAACCUAUUUUCCUAAAAUAGUAUUUAAAAUACCUGCCGAAAUCGGAAAAUAUAGCAAUGUUAAUAACAACCGUAUUAUAAUAGAAAUACCCGUUACCAUCGCCUAAUUACCGCCAAACAAAAGAUUUACCCCGCAUUUGGCUAUUUUUCCUUUGCAAAUUAAAUUAUACAUCCAUUAUUGGUUAUAUUUGUGGAAAACUUUCCGCAAUCCAAAUAUUCGUUCGUAAUUUAUAUAAACAAUAACCGCCGAAUUUUUAUUUGUAAGAUAUA